AGGGAAAUAGCUCAGUGGUUGAGUGAAUGCUUAGGAUGCAUGAGGUCCUGGGUUCAAUUCCCAGUAUCUCCU
rfam:Camelus ferus unplaced genomic scaffold scaffold567, whole genome shotgun sequence.